rnacentral:rRNA from 1 species
AUUGAACGCUGGCGGCAUGCCUUACACAUACAAGUCGAACGGCAGCACGGGAGCAAUCCUGGUGGCGAGUGGCGAACGGGUGAGUAAUAUAUCGGAACGUGCCCAGUCGUGGGGGAUAACGUAGCGAAAGCUACGCUAAUACCGCAUACGAUCUAUGGAUGAAAGCGGGGGAUCGCAAGACCUCGCGCGAUUGGAGCGGCCGAUAUCAGAUUAGGUAGUUGGUGAGGUAAAGGCUCACCAAGCCGACGAUCUGUAGCUGGUCUGAGAGGACGACCAGCCACACUGGGACUGAGACACGGCCCAGACUCCUACGGGAGGCAGCAGUGGGGAAUUUUGGACAAUGGGCGCAAGCCUGAUCCAGCAAUGCCGCGUGCAGGAUGAAGGCCUCGGUUGUAACUAGCUUUGUUAC